AAGGAAAAGAAAAGAAAAGAAAAGAAAAUCCCAAAUCCCAUGCCUCAAAUGAAAAAGAAAAUCCUCUCUUCGCACUCUGUUUCCGUGACAUAACGUAAAGACAGAGAGGGAAAUUCCCCAACUUUUAUCUUUCAAUGUCUAUGGGGCUAAAAUCACAUCAAUCGCUACCUUAAAAGCCAAGCAAGAAUAACAGAACACAGCCCAAUCUCGGAAAUUAAAGAUUAAAGAAAGCGACCACCACCACCAC
rnacentral:misc_RNA from 1 species